UAUAGAGUCCGGCUACUAUACUUUUAUGAGUAUUGGCUCCCUUAUACUCAUAAAUUUUCAGCCCUUAGAUUUAUUCCCUUAUCAUUUCCACCCGUUAGAUCAUACUAUUCAACCAACUACUCACUCAACCCUAGAGGACCAUUAUCAUUCUAAGUGGGGACCGCCAUCAUCCUAACCACACAUCCCAUCAAUCAAUGGUUAAAAAUUUAUGAGUACAAGGGAUUCUAUACUCAUAAGAGUAUAGUAUAUAUAUAUAUAUAUAUAUAUAUAGAGUCCGGCUACGGUGCUUGUAAAAGCACAAACAUUUGGUACUUGUAAGUUUUUUACCGUUAGAUCUACGUCUUUGAUCAUUUUCAACCGUUAAAUUAUACUAUUCAACCAACUACCCACUCAACCCUAGGGGGCCCACAUUAUCAUAACCGCACAUCUUUUAAUCCAAGGGCCGAAAACUUACAAGUACCAAUGACUUGGUACUUUUAAAAGCAUAGGAGCUCAAUUCUAUAUAUAUAUAUAUAGGCUGGGGUUACUAUUCUCAUAUAACUAUAGAGCCCUUUGUACUCAUAACUUUUCGGCCGUUCUGAUGAAAAAAUGUGCGGUUAGGAUGCCAGUGGUUUCGGUUAGGUUGAUAUUGGGCCCCCUAGGGUUGAAUGGGUGGUUGGCUGAAUAGUAUAAUCUAACAGGUAAAAUAAUUAAAGGGUAGAUCAAACGGCCAAAAACUUAUGAGUACAAGAGGCUCUAUACUUAUAAGAAUAUAGUAGUCGGAUUCUCUCUUUCUCUCUCUCUCUCUCUCUAUAUAU
rnacentral:lncRNA from 1 species